AGCGAACGCUGGCGGCAUGCCUAACACAUGCAAGUCGCACGGGGGGGCUUCGGCCUCCCAGUGGCGGACGGGUGAGGAACGCGUAGGGACCUGUCGAGGGGUGGGGGAUAACGGCGGGAAACUGCGGCUAAUACCCCAUGACCCCACGCCUUGACAGCCGGGGCCAAAGGCGAAAGCGGCCCGCCGAGGGGCCUGCGUCCGAUUAGCUGGUUGGCGGGGUAGCGGCCCACCAAGGCGUCGAUCGGUAGCUGGUCUGAGAGGGUGAUCAGCCACACCGGGACUGAGACACGGCCCGGACUCCUACGGGAGGGAGCAGUGGGGAAUAUUGGACAAUGGGCGCAAGCCUGAUCCAGCAAUGCCGCGUGGGUGAAGAAGGUCUUCGGAUUGUAAAGCCCUUUCGGCGGGGACGAUGGUGACGGUACCCGCAGAAGAAGCCCCGGCUAACUUCGUG
rnacentral:rRNA from 1 species